rnacentral:rRNA from 1 species
UACGGAGGGUGCGAGCGUUAAUCGGAAUUACUGGGCGUAAAGCGUGCGCAGGCGGUUUGUUAAGCGAGAUGUGAAAGCCCCGGGCUCAACCUGGGAACCGCAUUUCGAACUGGCAAACUAGAGUCUUGUAGAGGGGGGUAGAAUUCCAGGUGUAGCGGUGAAAUGCGUAGAGAUCUGGAGGAAUACCGGUGGCGAAGGCGGCCCCCUGGAUAAAGACUGACGCUCAGGCACGAAAGCGUGGGGAGCAAACAGG